UACAGAGGUCCCAAGCGUUGUUCGGAAUUACUGGGCGUAAAGCGCACGUAGGCGGACUGGAAAGUUGGGGGUGAAAUCCCAGGGCUCAACCCUGGAACUGCCUCCAAAACUAUCAGUCUAGAGUUCGAGAGAGGUGAGUGGAAUACCGAGUGUAGAGGUGAAAUUCGUAGAUAUUCGGAGGAACACCAGUGGCGAAGGCGGCUCACUGGCUCGAUACUGACGCUGAGGUGCGAAAGUGUGGGGAGCAAACAGG
rnacentral:rRNA from 1 species